rnacentral:lncRNA from 1 species
GGCUGCCAUAACAAAGUACCACAAACUGGGUAGCUUAAACAAUAGAAAAUUCUUGUCUCACAGGCUUAGAAGUCUGAAAUCAAGGUAUUGGCAGGGUUGGUUCCUUCUGAGGUCUGUGAGAGAGAAUGUGUUUCAGGCCCUUCUCCUUGCCUUCUGGGUAACCAUCAUCUCCCUCGCCACAUGCUCUUCCCUGUGCAUCUGUCUCUCAUUGUGUUGGGAUUUCCCCUUUUUAUACGGACACCAGUCAUACUGCAUUGGGCUUCAUCCUAAAAACCUCAUUUUAAUUUGAUUACCUCUGGAAAGACCCUGUUUCCAAGUAAGGACACAUUCUGAGGUACUGGAGAUUAGGACUCCAACAUAUCUUUUGUUGGGUGGGGGGCAAAAUUCAACCCAUAACAGAGCUGUAGUAAGAGAGGCCCGCCUGGCAGCAGCUGUGCCCUUUAAUGAGCCCUGCAGGGAGAGGGCAGGGAAAUAAAGACCCACAUCUUCUCAAACGAGUGCCUCACCAUUGACAAAACCCAGCUGGAAGUUAAAUGGCAAGGAAGCCUGGGUGAUGCAGUCCAUACAUGCCAGCCUCCCAGGGCAUAAAGCAGGGUGGAGAAAGGUGGAGAGUGGAUCUGGAGGGCCAAACAGAGAAUAUCCAGC